GAAAGAUCCGCGCUCCUGCUGCAGAGGCCGUCCGCGACGGGCGAAGCGCUUCCGUCCGCCUCUGGAGCAGGAGCCCAGGUGCGCGCAUAUAACGAGCUGUACGAGUGGGGCUCGCCCCAAGACGUGCUGGUGUUGUGUUUCGUGGGGAGUUUUGUUUUCCUUCUAUUAUAGGUAGUACGGUAAAGGCCGUCAUCCCGAGGCCAGCACGCGGUUGGCUCUGCAGAUGUCAGGGCUUGGAAGCGCUCCGGGAGAGCCCCGGCACGGGGCUGGGCGGCAUGGACCCGCAGUGAGUCGAUUGGAAGCGAUGAAGGCGCCCUGUUUUCUCAGGUUGCCUGGGAGAAGAAGCUGACCCUCACCUGGCUACAGCCUCCGUUCAUGCAAUUGUAGAGAGUGACAAGGUCACCCCUGAGCCUCCUUUUCUCCAGGAUAAACACCCUCAGCCACUCAGGACCUGUGCUCCAGACUCUUCCUCAGCUCUGUUGCCCUUCUCUGGACCUGCUCCAGCACCUCAAUGUCAUUCCUGAAUUGGGGGGCCCAGAACAGGAUUUGAGGUGCAGUCCCACCAGUACUGAGUAAAAGGGGACAAUCCCUGCCCUGCUCCUGCUGGUCGCACCAUUCCUGAUCCAGGCCAGGAUGCCAUUGGCCUUCUUGGCCACCUGGGCACACCCUGGCUCAUGUUCAGACAGCUGUUCCCCUGGGCACUUUCCAGCCGCUCUGUUCCAGCCUGUUGCACUGCCUGGGGUUGUUGUGACCCAAGGGCAGGACCUGGCACUGGCACUUCACACCAUCAGCCUCAGCCCAUGAUCCAGCCUGUCCCGAUCCCUCUGCAGAGCCUUCCUGCCCUCCAGCAGGUCAAUACUUAACACACAACUUGUUAUCCAUUAAUUUACUGAGAAUGCGCUCAACCCUCUCAUCCAGAUGAGGAUGGUUUAAAAAAGAUUAAACAGAACUGGCUCCAUUACUGGCACCAUUCCUCACCACUCUCUGGGCCUGGGCAAUCCAGCAAAGGGUGCAGCUGUCCACUCCAUGGGCUGCCAGCUUUUCCAGGAGAAUGCUGUGGGAGACAAUAUCAAAGGCUUUGCUGGAGUCCAGAUCACUGCUUUCUGGAAGAGGCAGAGUCAACACAACUACAUCGUUGUCAUUGAGUCAUGCCAGCUCUUGCAAGUAAUGCUGAACAAAACCAGUUUUCUGGUUACCCUGCCUGCACUUUUAUCAGUGGCUAGUAUCACUGUAUUUGUUGAAGUUUAUCUCUUCUUUUGUGUGCAUCUGUCACUUAGCAGGACAGACAUGUUUAUAUAAAUAAGUUCCAUGGAUCAUUUAGGAUGUGUAGGAAAAUGCAGAACUGCAGACCUAAAGUUGGCUGCAUUUUAAGGUGACUUUGCCGUCUCAACAGAUGCUCAGAACAGUGACAGCUCUUUAGUGCUACAACACACCAUCUUGGGAUAACACAUCUAGUGUUAUUCCCCAGACUUCCACAGCUAGUCUGGAAAUUUGAAAUAUUUUAUGUGGAGUUUCUACUUCAUGUAAUACAGCGCUGAUGGCAGUUACACCUGCAAAGAACACAGCAUCAUUCAUGUUCCUUGCUACCCUCACAGGUAAAUGUGGUACUUUUAGGAAGACUUAAGUUAGUCUUCAGAAUCAUGGAUCUAUAGUAAUUACAGAAAUUAUGCUGGUAAAAAAAUCUGGCCUGAUCCUUGGCUGCUCAGACAAUCUCUCCAUAUUUUUCCCAGGAUACCUGUCUUUAUUUCACCCUCAAUUGGCUUGAUUUUGUGUUUGGGUUUGUCCAGGAGCAGGUUGUUCAUCCAAGCAGGUCUCCCAGUACUUUUGUCUGACUUCCUUUUUGUUGGAAUACAUUGCUUCUGACUUGGAGGAUCUUGAUCCCUGAAGAUUCACAGCUUUCCUUGGCCUCUCUUCCCUCCAGGAUUCUAUGCCCUGCUAUUCUACCAAGCAGACCCCUGAAGAGGUCAAAGUCUGCUCUCCUGGAGUCCAGAGUGAGCUUCUUGAGUGUCCUUCUUACUCAAACUUCACCAUUUCAUGGUCCCUACUUCCCAGGCUGUGCUUGAGCUUCACAUUCUCCUCUAGCCCCUUCUUGUCCGCAAGAACGUGGUCCAGCAUAGCACCUCUGUCAUUGGUUCCUCUGUUAUUUGGAGAAGGAGGUUAUGAUCAAUGCAUCACAGGAACCUCCUGGAUUGCCUGAGCCCAGCUUUGUUGUUCCUCCAGCCAAUAUUGGGGAGGUUGAAGUCCGCCAUAUAGACUAGGGCUUGUGAAUGCCCUGGUCUGUUUGAAGCAUCUGGAGAAAUCCCAGAAUUUUAUCACUUCACAAAAUGAGAAAACACAUCUCUUCCAGUAAUAACUCAGGAGUAUGUUAGCCAUCAAAAUUAAUUUUAAAAUAACACAUUCAGGUAACUUCAAUUCGGUGUUUAUACUGAAACUGAACAAACAGCUAUCUGUAUUGCUACUGUCUGUUUUCCAAAAUUUGAAACUGGGAAAGAUAAUCUAAAAGAUUUGCUAAAAAAUAUUAGCAGUAAAAAGGCUAAAGAGGAUAAUCCAGAUUAUUGGGUAGCAUCCAUGUAGGCAAAAAAAUUGCAACUGAUAUAUAUGCUCUUACAGGGAAUCAGUAGAACUAAUAUUUGUCAAUAUGGGUAUAGGAGAAACAGAUCUGACUACAAUUUUGUUAACACACUAAGCAAAAUGUAUAGUGUUUCCAUGACAAUAAUGUAAUAUGUAAUGUUUAGAUUUCUUGAAAACAUUCUGACUUACUGCUGCGUGACACUUUUUAUAUGUCAGGCUAAUUGGAUCGGUAUGUCCUGCUAAUUAGUAGAAUAUUCGAGUAACUGGCAGCCAAAACCAGAUCCUAAUUGAGUAAGUAUAUUCAUAUUGGGGUUAUUUUAGGAGUUAUUUUUUGCUAUGUGUUAUUUAAUGCUUGUUUUAAAUUACAUUAACAUUGUACAAAAUUAUUCAUUAUACUCACAGAUUACAGACCCCAAAGACUGGAGAUAUAAUAAACAACAAAGAUAAGUCAUUGAUACUGACCAGAGGACUUUCAUAAGCUGGGGGCAACAGACAAGUGUUUUGUGGAUAACUGUUAAAGUAAAACAUUUGUGAACUGAGAAGGCAGCAUGCCUUUUUUACUCCUAUAUUUAUGACCUUUACAUUUAGUCUACCCAUCAAAUUCUAGGUCUUCAGAACUGAGAAGACAUCCAAAUAUGGAGCCUUUGAAGGCCAGUUGAACAAGUUGUUCUAAAAGUAAAAUUCUCUAGUAAACAGCCUUUUGUUUUAGGUGAGUCUAAGCCUCCAAUUUGUUGUCCUUGUGUAUUUUGGCUAUGAUCAUCUUUAGAGUGUUCUGUUAUAUUAUGUGCUUAUGCAAUUUUAUUUUGGCAUUUCAGAGUAAUGCUAGAACAUCCCCAUGCUAUAAAUUGACUCUGCUUUCAAAAUUUGAGCCAGUAUUUUUAAACAGGCCUUAUACCUUAGAGUCAUCACUACUUCUGUUACCCUUUCUCUGCCUAGCAUAACCUUUUUGCAUGUAUUGGUACAGCUGUAACAAAAAAGGGAAUAAAACCACAUCCACAGACAAUUCUCUUAGUCUAAUCAUCAGUCAUGUUAUUGCAAAGCUAAUGCUGCUGUUGGCUUCCUCAUCUUCAGGUAAAUUUGUGUUUUGCUAGACCUAAGACUAACUGAAAAUGCUGGUUUUCUUCCUCUUUUUUCUGUUCAUGAGUUACUAUUUGGGGAUUUGGAGGAGAAAUGAAGAGAUACAGAGAAGUUUGUCAAGACAGGCAACAAUGAAUGAACUCUUAAAUAUGGUGCUUUGGUCAAAAUGCCUUCUGUAAUUCUUGGCUAUACUAAAAGAAAUCUCUGGGGAUUGCAUAGACAAUAUUAGUUAUAUAUUUGCACCGAACAUUUAUUUUUUUUAUUUUGCUUUGUGCAGUUUUUGAUUCGAGAAUACUUAGUUGAAAGAAAAGGUUGAGAGAAAAGCCAGAAAAGUCAUUGAUUCAUGUGGCAUGAUACAAGGAAGUUUUUCCUCUUUAUCAGAUAAAACCAUGUAUUGACUGCAGUCCAAAAGUAUCUGCAAUGAAAUAGAAACUUGAUACCUGGUUCCUCCAUCUAGUUAACAGACAUAAAAGGAUCUGAUGGCUGAAUGUUGGAAGCUGAACAAAAUCAGGCUGGAACUGACUGGUACAAUUCUCCCUAAAUACAGGUCAGUUAACUAUUGAAACAGUUUAAAGUAAAUUAUAAUGGGCUUUUCAUCUAGUUUUAACCUCAAGAGAUAUCUGUCUUAAGACUGAUAUUGUAGCUCAACUCAGCAACAGCUCAGGACAGCACAGAAACUUCUGUGACAAAACAGAUCAGCCCAGUGGAUGGUUAAAGUGGAUGUUCUAGCCUUAUCUUUGAUGGGGAGCAAAAUAUUUUGGUUCUUCCUUCAGCUCUUCUGUGGGUUUACUUCACGAUCCAUUUUUUUUUUCCUGUGGAGGCUACCAUUUGUACUGGAACUUCAGGGCAGCUGCAGCUAUUUAAGGACAUAAUAAUUUGUAGUGUGUAAGGACAUAAUUAUUGUAGUGUGGUAAGGGAUCCAGACUGCAUAAGAAGCUAUUCUAAAGAUGUCCAUGGAAGAGAGCCAGGCACACAUGGAAUUUUAGCACUCCUUUGUUCUGUUUAUUUCAGUUUCCCAGCAAUAGUCUUCUGCGUUAAUAGUUUAUCUGGUGAUUCUGCAUCACUGUAUGUCUGUGGUCAUAUACAAAAGAUGGAAUAUCAUUCUGGAUUAACAGUUUAAGAUCCUUUAUUAAGUCUUGUGUGCCUGUAUAAUUUUAAAUGCAACAAGGGUAUGUCCAUAUAGACACUUAGUUUUUAGAUUAUCCGAAGCUUUCAGCUUGUGUUUUGCCUUUUGUUUGUAAAGUGGUAUUUUGUCCUUUGAAUAAGAAGUGCAGAAGUAUUCAGCAACCUUACCUUAUCAUUAUUUAAAGCAAGUUGGUUUCCUCUCUGUGCACAGAAAACUAAAAUUGUAUCCUUCCUUGACUGAAAACUUCCUUUCUGCAAGCAAUAAAAGAUGCAAAUAUCCCUU